CCUUAGACACCAAUUGGUUAAUUAGUUUUGAUUUGACCAACCUAAUGAUUCAGAUUCAACUACUAAGCCAUAAUCAAGAUCCAUUUGGUCUAAUCAAAGAUAUAAACUUGACUAUCUACAACUAUUGUAUUGAUUUUAGAGAAAUCUUGAUUUUAAUCUAAUUCAAUAUUUGGUUAGAUUUAAUCAAUUUCUCUAGUUAGUCCAUUU
rnacentral:lncRNA from 1 species